AGAUGCAGAGUGUUGGUCUCCUUUUUAGACAGUGACCCCGCAGAUAAUCCAAUGAAUGAAUGAACGAAUGAACAACCAGACCAUUGGACUAUUAGAGACAGCAUCUUCAUGGAAUAGGCAAAGGGGGACAGGAAUUGUCACCAAAUGGGUUAUGGAGGGAGUAAAGUGAAAGCACAGGAGCUUCUGUUUCCCUUGAGACACAUACUCUUAGGAUGCAGGUCCCAUUAAGGACCACCUUUCAACCUGCCAUGACGCACGAGGCCAGGGAUGUUUGUGCAGAUGGGAUCCAAGGACUCAGGGUCAACUAGAAAAGACCUGCAGAGGGGAAAAUGUGUGAGGAUGACACACCUGGAUGUCAGGGGGAGGCGAGUGAGAAACAGGGAUGCCCCAAGUCAGCUCUCCUGAGGCGACCUCUAGUUAGAGAGCCCCAGGACCACCCUGGACCCAGGACCCCAGAGUAAGACAAAACCAUGCCGCUCCACGUGCAACUCACAGGAGGAGAGCCAGCUGGACUUUCAUAUCACUGUGUACCAA
rnacentral:lncRNA from 1 species